UCAUUUAAAAAGCUCAAGUCUAGGAUUCAUAGAACUGGAGCUGUGAGAGAAAAUGUCCAGGCGCUAUUCCCGUUUUCGGGUGCUGUGAACACUUAUUACGCAGAGUAACCCAUUAUUGAGUUCUCCAGUGCUCUGCAGCUUCUCUGGCUAUCUGUGUUUCCUGGGCUUGUUUGUUCAUACAACUCCAACUACCUGCAUGACACUUCCAAAAGUAUUAGAGGAGAAGUCCCUGCACUGAGGAACAUCCAAUUGAUAAUUCAUCACGGGGGAAACAACAGAGAAAUCAGGAAAAUGGAAGCAGAUGAAAGUGGGGGUUGAACUGAUGCCACAAAGAACAUUUACUCAUGAAAUGGUGCUCGUUUAUCCAGCAGUAAGUAUAUCAUUUUGACAUUUAUUUGCAAUAUUAAUUGUACUUAUUGAUUAAAUUUUUGCACAUAUUGUAAAUUGAUUCAAAAUACCGCAGAAGGUGACAUUAUUCUGCUAGCUGUGUGCUGCUAUGGUAAAUA